ACGGUUAUAAAUCAACACCUUGGUUUAUAAGCAUGGAAAUCCCCUGAGUGAAACAACGAAUUGCUGUGUGUAGUCUUUGCCCAUCUCCCACGAUGGGCUUUUUUUUCG
rnacentral:other from 4 species